rnacentral:rRNA from 1 species
CCUACGGGUGGCAGCAGUGGGGAAUAUUGGGCAAUGGAGGAAACUCUGACCCAGCACUGCCGCGUGAAUGAAGAAGGUCUUCGGUUUGUAAAGUUCUAUCAGCAGGGAAGAAAAUGACGGUACCUGACUAAGAAGCCCCGGCUAACUACGUGCCAGCAGCCGCGGUAAUACGUAGGGGGCAAGCGUUAUCCGGAUUUACUGGGUGGAAAGGGAGCGUAGACGGGUGAGCAAGUCAGAAGUGAAAGCACAUGGCUCAACCAUGGGACUGCUUUGGAAACUGUUGAGCUAGAUUGCAGGAGAGGUAAGCGGAAUUCCUAGGGGAGCGGUGAAAUGCGUAGAUAUUAGGAGGAACACCAGUGGCGAAGGCGGCUUACUGGACUGUAAAUGACGUUGAGGCUCGAAAGCGUGGGGAGCAAACAGGAUUAGAUACCCUAGUAGUC